rnacentral:rRNA from 1 species
AUUGAACGCUGGCGGCAUGCCUUACACAUGCAAGUCGAACGGUAACAGGUCUUCGGAUGCUGACGAGUGGCGAACGGGUGAGUAAUACAUCGGAACGUGCCCGAGAGUGGGGGAUAACGAGGCGAAAACUUUGCUAAUACCGCAUACGAUCUCAGGAUGAAAGCAGGGGACCGCAAGGCCUUGCGCUCACGGAGCGGCCGAUGGCAGAUUAGGUAGUUGGUGGGAUAAAAGCUUACCAAGCCGACGAUCUGUAGCUGGUCUGAGAGGACGACCAGCCACACGGGGACUGAGACACGGCCCAGACUCCUACGGGAGGCAGCAGUGGGGAAUUUUGGACAAUGGGCGCAAGCCUGAUCCAGCCAUGCCGCGUGCAGGAUGAAGGCCUUCGGGUUGUAAACUGCUUUUGUACGGAACGAAAAGACUCUGGUUAAUACCUGGGGUCCAUGACGGUACCGUAAGAAUAAGCACCGGCUAACUGCGUGCCAGCCGCCGCCGUAAUAC